UGAGGGGCCCCCGCGAUGGGGCACUGUGAACCGGGUCAGGCCUUAACCGGAGCAGCCCUAAGCAGCUCGUCCUUUGUGCGACGGGCCUCUCAUCC
rnacentral:SRP_RNA from 1 species